UAUUUGAUCCCUUGUCGGUAAAAGAUAUAAAGAAAGGAAAUGAAGAAAAUUGAUAUUCUUUACGAUAAAAAAGAAAGGUUUUGGUCAUACAUACAUACAUACAUACAUACAUACAUACAAGUAAGCGAGUAACCAGAGAUAUUUUACAGUACUUUUACUUCUUUACGACAAUACAAGAAGCUAAGCAAACCAAAACUCCCUUGCUAUCUUUUUCUCCCUUUUGCUUCAAUCCCACAAUCAAUUGUAUUACUCUUUCAUGGCUUCUUCUUCAUCUUCUUGUUCAAUGAAGCAUCAAGUUUUCUUGAGCUUCAGAGGUGAAGACACGCGCUUUAACUUCACCUCUCAUCUGCUCAAAGCUUUGAAAGACAGGGGACUGAAUGUCUUCUUCGAUGAAGAAAAACUAGAGAAAGGGGAGAAACUUUCACAUGCACUCUCUCAAGCAAUUGCUGCCUCAAAUCUCUUAAUCCUCGUUUUAUCUAAAGACUAUGCUUCUUCAAAAUCAUGCUUAGGUGAGCUUUCUGACAUCAUGGACCGUAAUCAUUCUGAAGGACAUAUUGUUAUUCCCAUCUUUUACCAUGUCGAUCCCUCCAAUGUGCGGAAUCUUGGUGGGAGUUUCAAAACAUCCUUUGAAGACCAUGAAUCAAAGAGGACCACAGAAACGAUGGAAAGAUGCCUUCGCUAAAGUCGGAACAUUAAAAGGAAUUCAUAUAGAAGACGAUAAGUAACUAUAUUUUUCUCAUCUUCUUAUAUUUGACUUAUCUUCGUUUUAGAUUUCAUAUAUAAUUAUAUAUAUGCUUUUUGAUUCUCUGCUAGAUCUGAAACCGAGUAUAUCCAGGAGAUUGUUGAUGAUGUUACAAGAAAAUUGAUGAAUAGUAUGCCUAGAAUCACUUCUGAAAAAUUGGUUGGAAUAGAUAAUCAAAAAAAGAUGCUUUUGGCGUUGAUUGAGCAAUCGGACAUCCGUGUAAUAGGACUUUGGGGAAUGGGUGGUAUUGGCAAAACUACCCUUGCUGAUGCUCUAUAUAAGGAAGUCUCUCCAAAGUUUGAAUGUCAUUUUUUUCUUCAGAAUGUUAGUGAGAAAAUAAAAAAACAGGGGAAUGAAUCUUUACGAAAUGAAUUUCUUUCCAAACUAUUAAAAGAAAAAGACAUUUGAAUUGAUACCCCUUCCAUAGGAUACCCUUACCAAGAGAGGUUGAACAAUAAAAGAGUACUUGUUGUCCUUGAUGAUAUUAGUGACCCAAACCAAAUAGAUUUUAUGGUUGUUAAACAUUUUGGUUCAGGAAGUAAAAUCAUUGUUACAUCUAGAGAUAGACAGGUACUUAAAAAUGGAAGAGCUGAUGAAAUACAUGAGGUAAAGAAGUUGAAUAAGAACGAUUCUCUUCAACUUUUUUCUGCAUUUGCAUUUAAGUUGUUGAAUCCUGUGGUUGGUUUCCGAAAUCUAUCAUGGAAGUUUGUAGAAUAUGCCCAAGGUAGUCCACUUGCUCUUAGAGUUUUAGGUGCUAAACUAUAUACAAAGUCUAGAAAAGAGUGGGAGAGCGAAGUGGAUAAUCUAAAGCAAUAUACCGAACCAGAAAUUUCACAGGUUUUGAAGAGUAGCAUAGAUGGGCUGCGUGAGCUAGAGAAGAAUAUAUUUCUUGACAUAGCAUGCUUCUUUAAAGGGGAGGACUGGGAUUUUGUAGAAAAAAUUCUUAGUAGUUGUUAUAUGGGUGCAGUGAGUGGAAUAAGAAACUUAGUCGACAAGUGCUUACUUGAUAGGAUAGACUGUUCUUUUAUUUCUAUGCAUGAUAUGCUUGAAGACAUUGGCAAGGAUAUUGUUCGCCAAGAAUGUAAAGAAGAUCCAGGAAAGCGCAGUAGGUUAUGGUUUCAUGAAGACAUGCAUGAAGUGCUCAAAUAUAAUAAAGUAAGCGCUAAUUGUAUUUAUUUAAUAAAAAAUUAUAUUUGAUAUCUUAUAAAUAUAUAAAUUCAAUUAAUUAUAUGUUCUCAUAUCUUAAAAAUAUAAUUGUUUGUAUUUACAUUGUAUGAAAUGUUAAUCAUUUUAAUUAUUAUUUCACAAAAUAAAAUAUUUAUUUACUCACCAUGCAAAUAAUGACAAGUGUCUUAGGAUAUGCAUGGGAUCUACUUAAGGGUUAUUUGGGUUUGUUAUUUAAUGCAUUGCCUUAAAAAACAAACAAAAUGAAAUUGAACACUUUUAGAUCUAUAUAUACUGAUACUUGAUAAAAUGUUUUUCAUGAUUAGGGGACUUUAUCAAUUUAAGGAAUAAAGUUAGACAUGUCUCAAAUUCAUAAGUUGCAGUUAUGUUCAUCUAUUUUUGAGAACAUGUUUAAUCUUAGAUUUAUUCACUUCUAUAAACCUGAUAUUUGGGGAGGCUAUUGGGAACCUUUGAAUCCUUGGAAUCCGAAGCUACUGGUAGACCAAGUUGAUAGUGUAUCUCUUCCUAGUAAGCUAAGGUAUCUUCAUUGGGAUUAUUUUCCUUUCAAAACUUUAUCAAGUUUUAAUCUAAAGAAUCUUGUCGUGUUGAUAUUACGAUGUGGCAACAUCGAACAACUUUGGAAUGAAGAUGAUCAUAUGGUAUGUGCUUUCAUACUUUCUUCAUUGAAGAAUUUUUUUAAGGAUUUAUAUUUAGAUGUAUCAAAUAAUCAUACGAUGACAUCUUAAUUAAAGUUUUUAAAAAUUAAAUAUAAAAUAUUUUAUUUAAAUAAGUGACAUCAUUUGAUCUAUUAAUUGUUGGUGAAUUUUUACGCUGGAUGCAUCAAAUAUAAAAUUUUAUUUUCUUAGUAUUAUAAAUAGUUAUUUUUUUUUAUAGGAGCUUGUUAAUUUAAGGAAAAUUGACGUUUCAAAUUGCAGUAAGUUAAGGAAGAUACCAAAUCUUUCAGGAGCCAUCAACCUUGAACUCCUUGAUUGCUCCAACUGUGAAAGUUUGGUUGAAGUUCCUUGCCUCAAUCAUUUGGCAUCUUUUAUCAGAAUAAGCUUCAAUUUAACGGAUAUUUUAGUCUCAAGAAGUUUCCUCAGGUCCCAAGUCACUUUUGAAAUUUGAAUCUAUCAUGGAAGAUUCAAUUGAGCAUCUCCGCAGACUUGAAGAAUUGUUUUUGGACAAGUCGAAGGUAAAAAAAAGUAUCGAUCGAUAUUUCAAAGUUGGAAUUCCUUCGUAAACAGGAUCUUAGGGAUCGCCCAUUGAUCAAAUUUCCAGAAAUCCCAAAAAGCUUAACAGAAAUAAACUUACCUGGCAGUCAAAUUGAAGAAGUGUCCUUGCCUUUCGACUCUUUUUGUAAUCUUCAGGACUUAAAUAUGAGUGGCUGCCCAAUGCCUAAAGUCCCGAGAAGCUUAACACAGUUAAACUUAUAUGAAACUCAAAUUGAAGAAGCCGUAUUGCCCUUCGACUCUUUAAGUAUUCAAAGGCUACAGUAUAAUAUUGCCCUGUUCGAUUCGAGAGAGUUUCCACUUUUCAACUGUUGAUGUGCCCUCACCAUGCUUGAGGUCUACAACCCCUAGGUAUAUGAGGACGGAUCGUUGCAAGAGCCUUAAAUUACUCUCAGAGCUUCCACCAUAUCUGCAAUACUUGAAUGUACAUGACUGCACAUCAUUAGAAAAAGUACCCUUUACAUAUUAAAAUUUAUACCAGUUUGAUUCGUUAGGUGAUGAAGGUGAAGAUGUGUUCUGCAUGCUAUUCUGUAAUUGCUUCAACUUGAAUCAAGAGUCAACUAAUAACAUUGAGGCAAAUGUCAUUAUCAAAGUUGGAUCUCUAGCUAAGAAAUGGGCAUCGAGGUAUGGUUGGGGAUACGACACUUUCAAUGUUCCAAGAGUGGUUUGUUGUUUCCCAGGAAACAAAAUUUCAGCAAAUAAUAAAGUGUCAGAGCAUGAAUUCUUCCUUAAGUUUGAAGUUAGCCCCAAAUGGGGGCAGUGGGAGCAGAUUUUUGGUUUUUGCUAUCUGCCUUAUGGUUGCUCUCACUCACUGCGCUUUCUUUGGAGGUCAUGAUUAUAUUUGUGAGUACCAACUUACAACCGCCAGUGAUGGCAAUGGUGGUGGUGGUUAUGAAAAGUUCAGAAGCAAGAUACAUUUCAUCGAUGUUUCUGAGCCAGAGAAGUGCAUGGGUGAUCACGUGUUUAUUCUAUCUAGCAUGGACAUGGUUAAAGAAGACAAGAAUUAUGAGGAGGCAACAUUUGAAUUCUACAUCAAAAUUGCGAUCUUGAAGACUUCGAAGGAGUUAAAGAAGAAGGAUACUAUAUCAAGGUGGCGAGAUGUGGUGUUCAUGUAUUUUACGUUGAUGCAAAGACUGAUACAGAUGCUACUGAAAAGGGGAAGGAAGACUUAAAAGAUUGAAAUAGUUUGUAUUUCUUUCCGUCUUUGGCUUUGCUUUUGAGGAGUUUCAACUUCUCAAUUAUGUCAUCCAAAUGCAUAGAUAUAGCAUAUAUUGUCCAAGAAGGGAAUUCUCCAUAUAUAUUAAUUAAUUUGGAGGAAAAUUGAACGGCAAGUGGAGAUUUCAAUACAGUAGCAGAAUGAUUCUGCUUUGGAGUUGACAAAAUAUCCAUAGGGGAUUUUGGACCAAUGGUGGACUUGAUUCAGCUUCAUUGUUUAGUUUCCAGCAUUAGUGUCCUCUGGCUAGGGAAUGACAGAUCAUUGAGAACACCUGAGCUGUAAGACCUUCAAUUUGUUUUACUGAAUUCAAAGUACUCUUUUGAGGCCCUUUCUGGUUCUGGCAAUUCAGUCUUGGUGGAGAAAAUUUGCUAGAGAUCUCAAAGCUUGUGGGCUGGACACAUGGAGGUGGAGGCAACUUUUGACAGUUUUCAUUCUCAAGCUAGAUUGGGAUCGGUGGUGGAUAUCAUUCAGCUUAAUUGUUUAGGUUCCACAAUUGGUGCUCAUGCCAUGGGCAUUGCAGAUUAUGGGUGGUUUUGAUAUCUUCUCUCUCACCAACAAAUGAAGUUCCCACAAAAUUACUGGUGUUAAGGGAAUAAAGAUGGCAAUGGUUGACGAAAGGAAAGCAGAUGAGGGAAUAAAUCACAGAUGUUUGUAACAAAGUUGCCUUGUUCAUCCCAUCCAGCUUUGCUUCAACGCUUUCUGGAUUUUGGCCAUUGAGAGGAAGCAUAUGAUCAUGGAAUUAGGCAGAGUUGCUCUUAUCUCAAAACAAGUUGGAUGAACACAUGGAACCUGGAUGUUAUUUUCAAUGCCAACCCUAUCACAGUUUUCAUUCUCAAGCUAGAUUGAUGAGCUUUUAUGUUUUCCCCAUAGAGGAACCCAACAUAAACACUUGGAAGGAAAAAAUCCAAAUGAUUUUGGUAUAGUUGGAACUUCAAAGUGCAGAGCUGGUUUCAUGGUAAAGCCAUUUGACUUGAUUGUUAUAUCAGUUUGGGCUAAAACUUGAAUCAAUUUUCCCCUUUUGUAAUUAAAAUUCCAGAAUUUUAUUCUGUUUUGGAAUUGAAAGGAUGCAACAUUGGAAUUGGUUUGUAGAUUCGUUUUUAUGAGAUGGUGUCCAACAAGUUCAAGAUUUGUAGCUUAGUAAUUAAAAUAACUUUCUGUAACACUAAACUAUGAUCUACUAUAAGAAAAAACACAAAUUUUAUA